CGAGCACGGGAGUAGCAAUACAACUGGUGGCGACCGGCGCACGGGUGAGUAACGCGUAUGCAACCUACCAUCGAGAGGGGAAGUAACCCGGCGAAAGUCGGACUAAUACCGCAUAAAACAGGGGCACCGCAUGGUGAUAUUUGUUAAAGAAAUUCGCUGAUAGAUGGGCAUGCGUUCCAUUAGGUAGUUGGUGAGGUAACGGCUCACCAAGCCGACGAUGGAUAGGGGAACUGAGAGGUUGGUCCCCCACACUGGUACUGAGACACGGACCAGACUCCUACGGGAGGCAGCAGUGAGGAAUAUUGGUCAAUGGGCGAGAGCCUGAACCAGCCAAGUCGCGUGAAGGAAGAAGGAUCUAUGGUUCGUAAACUUCUUUUGCAGGGGAAUAAAGUGCAGGACGUGUCCUGUUUUGUAUGUACCCUGAGAAUAAGGAUCGGCUAACUCCGUGCCAGCCGCCGC
rnacentral:rRNA from 1 species